ACGUAGGUGGCAAGCGUUAUCCGGAUUUACUGGGCGUAAAGGGUCCGUAGGUGGUUGGGCGGGUCUGGUGUGAAAGCGCUCGGCUUAACUGAGCGAGGCCACUGGAAGCCGCCCAACUGGAGUCGCGCAGAGGGCACUGGAAUUCCCGGUGUAGUGGUGGAAUGCGUAGAGAUCCGGAGGAACACCAGUGGCGAAGGCGACACGCUGGGCCUGGCCUGACGCUCAGACGCGAAAGCAUGGGGAGCGAACGG
rnacentral:rRNA from 1 species